AUUGAACGCUGGCGGCAGGCCUAACACAUGCAAGUCGAACGGUAACAGGAAACAGCUUGCUGUUUCGCUGACGAGUGGCGGACGGGUGAGUAAUGUCUGGGAAACUGCCUGAUGGAGGGGGAUAACUACUGGAAACGGUAGCUAAUACCGCAUAACGUCGCAAGACCAAAGAGGGGGACCUUCGGGCCUCUUGCCAUCGGAUGUGCCCAGAUGGGAUUAGCUAGUAGGUGGGGUAACGGCUCACCUAGGCGACGAUCCCUAGCUGGUCUGAGAGGAUGACCAGCAACACUGAACUGAGACACGGUCCAGACUCCUACGGGAGGCAGCAGUGGGGAAUAUUGCACAAUGGGCGCAAGCCUGAUGCAGCCAUGCCGCGUGUAUGAAGAAGGCCUUCGGGUUGUAAAGUACUUUCAGCGGGGAGGAAGGGAGUAAAGUUAAUACCUUUACUCAUUGACGUUACCCGCAGAAGAAGCACCGGCUAACUCCGUG
rnacentral:rRNA from 1 species